rnacentral:rRNA from 1 species
UGGGGAAUAUUGGACAAUGGGCGAAAGCCUGAUCCAGCCAUGCCGCGUGUGUGAAGAAGGUCUUCGGGUUGUAAAGCACUUUAAGUUGGGAGGAAGGGCAGUAAGCUAAUACCUUGCUGUUUUGACGUUACCGACAGAAUAAGCACCGGCUAACUCUGUGUCAG